rnacentral:rRNA from 1 species
UACGUAGGGGGCGAGCGUUGUCCGAAUUUACUGGGCGUAAAGAGCGCGUAGGCGGGUUCUUAAGUGAGAGGUGAAAGGUUCAGGGCUCAACCCGAACAGUGCCUUUCAUACUGGGAGCCUUGAGUGUGGGAGAGGCGAGUGGAAUUUCUGGUGUAGCGGUGAAAUGCGUAGAUAUCAGAAGGAACACCCAUGGCGAAGGCAGCUCGCUGGCCUACAACUGACGCUGAGGCGCGAAAGCAUGGGGAGCGAACAGG